AAAUUCCCCUCUCGCUCUGCCCCCUUUGCCUGCUCGUCUCUGGUGGAAGACGGGAGAGGUUGCUGGAUCACCUGGUCGUGUCCAGCUGUCGUCAUGCCCAUGACGACUGCGGUUUAAUUAUAGAAAGUUGUCUUGGCCCAGCUCCAGAAGCCAAGGACUCAGGUCUGCUAACCAAUAAUUUACUUCCCCUACAACUCAGGAGCACUAAGUCUCUGCAACUCCAAACAGCUCUAGGUUGCUCAGACUACUGGACCAAUUCUUUAGACAUGAUAUUCUUGGUCAUCUUGUUCUUUCUUUUUAAGAAACUUCACCUUCUAGGAUAUUUCAGGUAGAAACUUCUGAGCAGAGUCACUCACUGCAAAAUAAUGAGCACGCAAUCCUGAAAAAUGAGAUGCAGUGAUGUUUUAUACAACCAAAAAGGAAGGGAGGAGAAGAAGGAAACACUAAUCACAUCUGGAUGCACCACAGUGUCACUAUUGCACUGAGGAACCCGUGUUGGAAUCUGCUAAACUGUGAACAUCUUCCACUUAAGCUGCUCCUGCAGACACCAGUCAGGUCAGGGCUGUUUCCUUGCUCUGAGACGGAGACAGAAAGCUCCACAUCAGUGAGCUGCACACUCCCCACAGCUGGCAAAGGAACAGGGAGCUCAGGGGGUCCAUGACAGCGUUUGACAAAAGAGCUGGAGAAAGCCACCCCUGCUGUGAACACAGACACCAUUCCUGCUGCAGAAAGUGGAACGCUAGGGCAGGCUUUCUAGGGACACAAGGAUUAGCCGGAACAGAUAAAAAUGGCAGUAACAGAAAAUGAAAUACAAGGCAUUCCUUGCAAAUUUAAUUCUCCUCUUAGUGAUACAUGUCCUUUUCAUUUGCCAGGCUGGCACUGUCACCAAGGUCAAUGCAAAUGUGCUGUCAGCUGCAGGAAAUUGGUGCGAAACUGAGUAUUUCUGAAUGUCCCCAGGAUUUCUGAUGGCCUCUGCAAAAUUGCACUGGGCUUCAUUCUCUUGUCACAAGUCCCACUUAUACAGCUAAAUAAUUUUUUUUUCCAUUUAGGGAAGAGAAGACAUCUCCAUUAAUCUGAUCUGCCCCAACUCCCAACUAACAUAAGCUCUCCCAUACUGUGCUAAGACAGAGGUUUUGCUGGAAUUUUAGAAGGGAUAAGAACAUAACUUCAUUCGUUCUUCCCUCCUAAAAGCACCUCAGCAGCUGAGAUUUUUUCAUCCCUGCAGUCCAACUCUCACCCUAAAUGGAAGAGUUGGGCCAGCCAGAGCAGUACCUAUCCUCCAUCAGUGCUGCGCCAAAAGCUGUGCAGGCAGCUGUGGAACAACAACAAAAAAAAAGGUUCCAGAAGGGAACACUGGUAAAAUAUCACUUCUGAGACCCAUCAGUUCUGUGAAAUGUAAGAACAUUGCUAUUGCAUCUUCUGCCAGCACCACGGCACUGUAGAAAUCCUCCUCUCUGUAGAGAAUGGGUGGGCUCCACCAUCUGUCUCCUGAGCACUGCAGAGAGCACAACAACUCCCUCUGCACAUGCUCUGGCACGCAGCAGCAGCGAGUGAUGUCCCCAGCUCUGGCUCCGAGUGGGCAGAUGCGAGCAAAUAGGAUUUAUCAAUUCAUCACUGUGUUGCUUUUUAGUUUUGCCUUGGUACAACUGCACUGAAUUCCACCGAGCUAAGCUGGAGUAAUACCUCAGGGAACCUGCUGCUCCUUCUCCCACCCACACUCAUACAGGCCCCACUCCAACCACAGCUUUCACCCCAUGGACAGGUUGGUUUGGCAAGCAAACUCUUUUAAGAAUGAGUCAUUGUCAGAACAGACAGCUUGAGGAAAGUUUCUUUCUAGUGAAGCCACCUCUGAACUGGACUGGGGAACCAGAGCAUCAAAAACCAGUGAUAACACUCAUUACCCUGAGAAUGAUUUUUAUUCCCAGAACUCAUUUCAUCUCCUAGCAGAGGGCAGGAAGUGUCACUUGUAGUUAUUGAAUGGGGCAAGCAUGGCAAACAACAGGAUCCAUGCUCCCCAUCUCCCAGACAGGCUGUUCCAUUGACUUAUGGACACUGCCAUUAUUUCUGAAAUCCAGCAUUCAGCCAGGUCAAAGGAGAUGAGAACUGGUCACCAGGUUGUCUUCUCUCCAUCAAACCCAUCCCAAUGUAAUGGGAGUGGAGGAUGUCAGAGAUGUCACAUCUACCAAAGCUGCCAACUCUUCCCUUAGCAACCCUGACAGUUGCCAGGAAACGAUGCCUUGCUGUUACUACGGUGACACAGGGUUCCAAAGCCACAUGCCACACAACACCCACCUGCCAGGGAAGGGGAGAAAUGCUCACCCUGGCUCUCCCAUCACUUCACAGGUCAAUGGAGCACAAUGGAAAAUCAUAUAGUGAAACCAUGUUGGGCUCUUCAUGGACUGGCAAUGAAAGUGAGGUCCAUCUCUGUGAACUUCAGGCAUUUGAUAUGGCCGUCCUAACCUCCAGAGGUAAUGAACAGAACCAGAGACUUCCAGGAUGCACCACAUCUCCAUCAGAAUGGGGACAGCUCCCUACACCAGCCUCCAGAAGCCUUCCCUGGAAGGGAAAGAAGACUGACCCCUUCUGACCCCCUUCUGAAAUGUGGCUUUGAAAGCUGGAUGUCAAAUCCUCCCCCUUCCUGCCAAAUAGAGACAUUUUCAGAAGUCAGUUUCAAUUUCCCAACUCUUGCAUGUGUUUAUCCUGCUCACAGGAUGAUAUUUAGCUCCCCAUAUUUCUUCCCGUCUCAUUGGCCUGUCAUCCAAGGGUGUGAUUAGUUCAUCAAAAGAAUGAAUGGCAGUCCAACCUGCCUGAAGAGAGGUUAUGAAAAAUAGAGUCCUUGCUAACAAGAGCAGGAGGACAAGGGUCACGUAUUGGUAGAGGUGAUGAAAGGUCCUGCAGGUCUAUUCAGUGUGGCUGUUGCUAUGAGUGUGAAGAGAUUUGCUGGCUCUGAAGCAGGGAGAGGACACAGAUGUUGUUUUGUUCCGUAUCAGUUACAGAUUCUGGUCACUUGUGUAAGUUAAUACUCUCCCAACUUCUUUUAUGCUCAUUACAGCUCUUCUUCUGUUACAACUUGGCAGCACAGUUCUGCCUCUCUUUCCACAGAGAGAACACACUGCCUUCUGCCCCUAACAGGCACAUGGGGGCAAAGGGUAGAUUUUAAUCUCUGAUCUGCACUGGUGGUUCUAGCUCAGGUUUGUUAUCUGUGUGGAAGAGAAAGACAACAAUCUCAGGAGUGCUCUCCCAUUCAGAGCCAGUGUAAGGCUCUGUUUGUGCUAAUGAGAAAAUAUCUUUGCACCACUGUUCUCAACAGGGCCAUCUCCAGCCAUUUUCUGCUGAAAACAAUAAUGUGUAAAUAGGGAAGGAAAUAAGGACUUGAUUCUCUCCAUCCAGGUGAAAUAAUAAUAUAAUAACUAUAAAACAGGCUAGUUCCUGGUGCUCUCUUUCAAAAGUUUCCUCCCACCACAAUUAGACAUUGGGUGUUGUUUUUCAGGGCAACAGCACCACAAUCAUUGCCCAGAGCAUUGCUUCAGAAAUUAAUUCUGUCUCAGGGAUGAUGACAGGUUUUGAGAUAGCCAAGCAAACAGCAUGCUGAAGUACUGCCCAUACUGGGCAGUGCUGUGAGUGCCAUAUUAAACACAUGUUUAAUUGGUUGUGAUGAAGGGGAAAUAGUAGAAGCACACAUUCUGCCUCCCUGAAAGUUCCUGAAGCACUCAAGAGCUACAUCCAGUAGUACAAGACAGAAGCCACCACUCUAAGGGCAUAUGGAAGGUGAGGGCCUCUGCUUCUUUAUCAACUCAAGAACCCUUUCACUUCCAAGAGAAUAUUAAAUGAAGGAGAAAUUUGUAAACAAGAACAUGCAGAGGACCAAGCCAGGUGCACAGGAGAGAGAGGGGCACUGGGAAAGAACAAAAGCCAUGCACUGAUGGAACCACCAAAGAUCAUCAGGCACAGCUUUGGAGAAGAAUUUGUAACUGCUAAGAAGGAGAAAACAAGAGGAACAGGACAACUGAGGAUAUUUGAGGUGGGCCUGAGAGACUGAACUUAAGGAACAUUUAGUGGGCCAGGGCAAAACAAGAGAGAAGUUAAAGAUAGGACAUGAAAGGGUAUAAAGAAGGGUCAGCCAAAUGUAACCCCUCACUGAUCAGUGUAUUUGGCUGAACAAGCCUGCACCCAGUCACUACAGUGCAUCCUACGUUUUUAUAAAAGCCACUUAAAAUGGUAUUUUAAAGUGUUUUAAAACCUUCUGCUGUCUUUCUGUACAAUUUCACAGUCUGUCCCAUGUGUGGGAAUGCUCUAAGGACAAGGUGCCAGCUACUGGGGACAGGAACUGACACAAACCAAAUAGAAAGCAUUUUGGAAAGGUUAAAUAGGGUGAAAUGUCUCUUUGUUUUCUAACCUCAAAUCUACUUUUUCGCAAGUCAAAUUUCCCAUCAAUUUUUUUUUUUUUCAAAUGCUCUCAUGUGACAAUUGCUGAAGCAACUCUCAACAAAUUUACGUGCUUAAAUACAAAAUGUUUCAAGUUGUAAAGACUGUAUUUAAGGAGAAAACAGAUGAUCUUUUGGGUCAACCCUAGGCAGCAGAUGUUGUUUUCUAUAAGAUGGUCUGUAUAUAUUCUAUAGAUAUAAGUGCAGACACACUAAGGUAGCAUCUAAAAAAAAACCAAAAAAAACCCAAAUCUGAACAAAACAGAAAAUUAUAAUAAAGGUAAUAUCACAUUCUAAAUU